CAGACACCAUUACUAGACUAGGCCCUUGAUUUUUAAAUUGUUUACAGAGAAGAAACCACGUAGACAAAAUAGACUCUACGCUAAACAAGGGAUGUAAGAUGAACUCGGGUGGCAGAGAGGGUCUGCGUUGUGAAUUAGUUGGGAUUGUUACAAGCAUCAGCAUUUUUAUAAAUAACCAUGCUGUUGAAAUUGCCCUUGUCAACAUGGAAGUCUGCUUUUAUUCACUUACUGCAGAUAUUUGUUUACCUCUUCCACAGGAUGCCCCCAGCUGAAAGGCAAAAUCAAGCCACCCAAAGGAAAGGAACAGGACUGACUUUGUCCUAUUAACACGGCACGCACGUGGCUGGCAUUUGCAGGAACCUGCUAGCAGGAACUCUACACUCUACAAAUAAGUGUCACUAUGGAAACUAAUCAAAUGAACAGAAGUAUGAAAGAGACCGCCCCAGGAACAUGUCUAAGAGGCAUAAAUAUUACUAUCAACAAAUUCUUCAGUUUAAAGGGCCCCAUUGAAAAGGUUAAACAAGCUGGCCAGGUGUCU
rnacentral:lncRNA from 1 species